rnacentral:rRNA from 1 species
CCUACGGGAGGCAGCAGUGAGGAAUAUUGGUCAAUGGGCUUACGCCUGAACCAGCCAAGUCGCGUGAGGGAAGACUGCCCUAUGGGUUGUAAACCUCUUUUGUCAGGGAGCAAUUGGCGCUACGUGUAGCGUUAUCGAGAGUACCUGAAGAAAAAGCAUCGGCUAACUCCGUGCCAGCAGCCGCGGUAAUACGGAGGAUGCGAGCGUUAUCCGGAUUUAUUGGGUUUAAAGGGUGCGUAGGCGGAAUGCCAAGUCAGCGGUAAAAUCGCGGGGCUCAACCUCGCUCCGCCGUUGAAACUGGCGGUCUUGAGUGGGCGAGAAGUAUGCGGAAGGCGUGGUGUAGCGGUGAAAUGCAUAGAUAUCACGCAGAACUCCGAUUGCGAAGGCAGCAUACCGGCGCCCAACUGACGCUGAAGCACGAAAGCGUGGGUAUCGAACAGGAUUAGAUACCCGAGUAGUC